rnacentral:rRNA from 1 species
GUUGGACUGCACAGACAGCUAGGAUGUUGGCUUGGAAGCAGCCAUUCAUUUAAAGAGUGCGUAACAGCUCACUAGUCGAGCGGUCCGGCAUGGAUAAUAAUCGGGCAUAAACAUACUACCGAAGCUAUGGACUUGAAUUUAUUCAAGUGGUAGGGGAGCAUUCUGUUUGCGCCGAAGGUGUACCGUGAGGUAUGCUGGAGCGGACAGAAAAGAAAAUGUAGGCAUAAGUAACGAUAAUGCGGGCGAGAAACCCGCACUCCGAAAGACUAAGGUUUCCUCAGCUAUGCUAAUCAGCUGAGGGUUAGUCGGGACCUAACGCGAACCCGAAAGGGGUAGUGGAUGGACAACAGGUUAAUAUUCCUGUACCUGCUCACGUUAAAAGUGACGGAGGCGAAAAUUAGGUGCGCACUGACGGAAUAGUGCGUUGAAGCCAGUGGCAACACGGCGAUAGUACACUGAGGCUCCGGCCAAGGUGAUAAUCCUGAGGAUCGACUUCCAAGAAAAGCGAGUGAAGCAGCCCGUACCCUAAACCGACACAGGUGGUUGGGAUGAGAAUUCUAAGGAGCUCGAGAGAUUCAUGGCUAAGGAACUAGGCAAAAUCGACCCGUAACUUCGGGAGAAGGGUCGCCCACGGCAACGUGGGCCGCAGUGAAGAGGUCCAGGCGACUGUUUAUCAAAAACACAGGGCUCUGCAAAAUCGAAAGAUGAAGUAUAGGGCCUGACACCUGCCCGGUGCUGGAAGGUUAAGAGGAGAUGUCAGCUUCGGCGAAGCAUUGAAUUGAAGCCCCAGUAAACGGCGGCCGUAACUAUAACGGUCCUAAGGUAGCGAAAUUCCUUGUCGGGUAAGUUCCGACCUGCACGAAUGGUGUAACGAUCUGGACACUGUCUCAGCCAUGAGCUCGGUGAAAUUGUAGUAUCGGUGAAGAUGCCGAUUACCCGCUGUGGGACGAAAAGACCCCGUGCACCUUUACUAUAGCUUAGUAUUGGUUUUGGACAAGUAAUGUGUAGGAUAGGUGGGAGACUUUGAAGCCGCGUCGCCAGGCGUGGUGGAGUCAUUGUUGAAAUACCACCCUUUGCUUGUCUAGAGUCUAACCCUUCACAAAAGGGGACAGUGCUUGGUGGGUAGUUUGACUGGGGUGGUCGCCUCCAAAAGAGUAACGGAGGCUUCUAAAGGUUCCCUCAACACGGUUGGCAAUCGUGUGUAGAGUGCAAUGGCAUAAGGGAGCUUGACUGAGAGACCUACAAGUCGAUCAGGUACGAAAGUAGAG